AACCCAUGGUGUGGGCAUUGUCUGAGCAUAUUAUUGUAUCUAUCCCAUGCUUCAAAUAAAGAUUCUGAAUCAGAUUAUCUGAAGCUUAUAAUAAGAUUUCUCAUAUGAGCU